UGGCAUAUAGUUCAGUGGUAGAACAUCUGGCUGUUAACCAGAGUGUCGCAAGUUCGAUUCUUGCUAUGCCAG
rnacentral:tRNA from 1 species